GACGAACGCUGGCGGCGUGCUUAACACAUGCAAGUCGAACGGCAAGGCGCGUGCUUGCUGGUGGUCACGAGUGGCGAACGGGUGAGUAACACGUGGGUAACCUUCCCUUCAUUUGGGGAUAACCGGCGGAAACUGGGUCUAAUCCCGGAUAGGACCACGGAUUGGAUAGGGGGGCGUGCAGGCCUUGCGGUGUAGGGUUGGCCCGUGGCUUAUUAGCUAGUUGGUGGGGUAAAGGCCUACCAAGGCGGCGACGGGUAUCCGGCCUGAGAGGGUGGACGGCCACAUUGGGACUGAGAGACGGCCCAGACUCCUACGGGAGGCAGCAGUGGGGAAUCUUGCACAAUGGGCGGAAGCGUGAGGCAGAGACGCCGCGUGGGGGAUGACGGCCUUCGGGUUGUAAACUCCUUUCCCCUAAGACGAAGGGUGUAUGACGGUAGCGGGAGAAGAAGCACCGGCUAACUACGUG
rnacentral:rRNA from 1 species